CCCACCUCGGCCCGCUAGCCUAAGUCCCAGCGGCCUAGAUGGCGUCGCUGGGUUAGAGGAAAACGGCCCUGGUCGAGCCGCCCCGCCCUCUCACCUCGGGUUGUGGCUUAGGUUCAGCGCGAUCCAGGGUACGAAGCGGUACUUGUAACGGCGCCAUCGCUGCCAGAGGCCCCGCAGCAGGCGGCCCGGCAUGGCUGUCCUGUGGCGCCGUGACGAGGACGGCACGGGGGAGGCGGGUUUUCUCGGGCCCGCCCCGACCCGAGGAGGAGCAGAGGCCGCGCCGUCCCUCCCCUUCGCGGUCUCAGCACUCAGUGCCGCGCUCGGCGGCCCUGCUACCCCCUGGCCUCCUGUCGCCGUGUCUCCGUGCCUCUGCUUUAUUGACCCCAGCUCGCUGAAACAGAGAGUGAAUUAUAAUGACACACUGUCAAAUGUUGCACCAUCCUUGGAUUCCUGAGAUAACCCUACUCAGUUAAUGACAUUUUCGGGCUUCCCUGGCGGCGCAGUGGUUGAGGAUCUGCCUGCCAAUGCAGGGGACACGGGUUCAAGCCCUGGUCUGGGAAGAUCCCACAUGCCACGGAGCAACUAGGCCUGUGAGCCACAGCUACUGAGCCUGCGCAUCUGGAGCCUGUGCUCCGCAACAAGAGAGGCCGCGACAGUGAGAGGCUCGUGCACUGCGAUGAAGAGUGGCCCCCACUUGCCGCAACAGAGAAAGCCCUCGCACAGAAACGAAGACCCAACACAGCCAAAAAUAAAUAAAUAAAUAAAUAAAUAAUUAAAAAAAAAAAAAGAAUGACAUUUCCUACAUAAUCACAUUACCAUUAUAUCUUUAAAAGUGAACAGUAAUUCAAUAUCAUGAAUAUAGCCCAUAUUUAAGUUUCUCUAAUUUCAAAAAUACCUUUUAUAACUGUUUGUUCUUUUAUUAUUUGUUUUUUAAACUGGGUCAAAGUUAA